rnacentral:lncRNA from 1 species
CCCCCCGCGUUACCCGCCCGCGGCCACACCUGAGCCGCCCGCGUUACCCGCCCGCGGCCACACCUGCGCCGGCCACACCCGCGCCGACCCCUCCCCCGCGGUUCAACCCAAGGCCCGGCCGCCCCGCCCGCGUUACCGCCCACACCCGCGGCCACACCUGAGCCGCCCCGCGUUACCCGCCCGCGGCCACACCCGCGCCGCCCCCUCCCCCAGCCACGCCGCCCACACCCGGGCCGUCCACACCCGCGCCCCCCGCCGGGCCCCCCCGCCCCCCGCCCCGGUCUCGGGCAGCCCGGGUUCCCAGGCGCGGGGCUUGGGGGCGUCGGUUUCGCGGCUCCUAACGGCCGCCGGCGCGUGCCCCAGGCCAUUGCCCAGGCGGCGAGGGCGUGGGGGGGCAUCUGGCCGGCGAGCGCAGAGGUGGGGGGGCUCCCCGGGGGGCUCCCCGCCCCCAGCGACGAGCAGAGCGCGGCCCGGCCUUGCCCCGCGUCCAGGGGCGGCACCUCGCCUCCUAACCUGCCGCCUCCCGGAGCCUCAGAACGACCCGCGGGGCCCGGAGGGGCCUCGGCGCUCGCCAUUUGCCGUAUUUCCACUUGGCUCAGGCAGAACUGGAGGAACCUUCCCUAAGAGGCUGAUUUGGGUAUCCACGUAA